UACGUAGGGUGCGAGCGUUGUCCGGAAUUAUUGGGCGUAAAGAGCUCGUAGGCGGCUUGUCGCGUCGGAUGUGAAAGCCCGGGGCUUAACUCCGGGUCUGCAUUCGAUACGGGCAGGCUAGAGUUCGGUAGGGGAGAUCGGAAUUCCUGGUGUAGCGGUGAAAUGCGCAGAUAUCAGGAGGAACACCGGUGGCGAAGGCAGCUCACUGGGACAGUACUGACGCUGAGACGCGAAAGCGUGGGGAGCGAACAGG
rnacentral:rRNA from 1 species